GCCCGGUUAGCUCAGUCGGUAGAGCAUCAGACUUUUAAUCUGAGGGUCAAGGGUUCGAGUCCCUUAUCGGGCU
rfam:Lottia gigantea unplaced genomic scaffold LOTGIsca_581, whole genome shotgun sequence.